GCGGUGGUGGUUUGUUCGGCGGCGACGGUGGUUGAAAGGAGGAGUUGGGUAGAGAUGAUGAUUAGUGUGAAGAUUGCUGCUGCUGGAGCUGUGUUCAUUUUUUUUUGUUGCUCUGUUUUUGUUUGAUCGGAGGAGAACAGGAGAAUGAGAAAGAAGAGAGAGAGGUUGGUUGGGUUAAUUUAUAGAGGUUGAAAUUCGGCCGAAAAUUGAACCGGUGAGGUUAGGAUGAUUAAAUUGUUAUUGAAUCGUAAUUGAAUCGUGUUUGCUUAUUAUUAUAUUGUGAUUGUAUUGGAC
rnacentral:lncRNA from 1 species